ACCCGCUGAACUUAAGCAUAUCAAUAAGGCGGAGGAAAAGAAACUAACAAGGAUUCCCCUAGUAACGGCGAGUGAAGCGGGAUGAGCUCAAAUUUAAAAUCUGGCUGGUUUACUAGUCCGAAUUGUAGUUUAUAGAAGCGUUUUCGGUGGCAGCCUGGGUAUAAAUCCUUUGGAAUAGGGUAUCAUAGAGGGUGAGAAUCCCGUCUUUGACUCAGUGCAUGCUACUAUGUGAUACGUUUUCAAAGAGUCGAGUUGUUUGGGAAUGCAGCUCAAAAUGGGUGGUAAAUUUCAUCUAAAGCUAAAUAUUGGCGAGAGACCGAUAGCGAACAAGUACCGUGAGGGAAAGAUGAAAAGAACUUUGAAAAGAGAGUUAAACAGUGCGUGAAAUUGUUGAAAGGGAAACGUUUGACACCAGUUAUGCGGGUGGAAAAUCAGUCUUUUGCAGUGGGGAGUUGUGGGCGUUCAGACCGCAAGGCUGGCGUUUGCUUCAUCUUUGCUGUAAGUGAUGCACUUUUUCAUUUGCAGGUCAACAUCAGUUUGCUUUGCUGGACAAAACCCCAAGGGAAGGUGGCAGCUUAGGCUGUGUUAUAGCCCUGGGGCGAUACAGUGGAGUGGACUGAGGUUUCGCAGUGUGUGCUCUCGGGCAAGGCUGACUGGGUGCUAUGGGAUCGUUCGGCGUACAAUGCAUGCAUUUUGCGUCGUGUCUUUUUCAUACUCGCUCAACUCGGCUCUUCCAUACUUAGGAUGUUGACUUAAUGGUUUUAAACGACCCGUCUUGAAACACGG
rnacentral:rRNA from 1 species